AUAACAAAUUAUUAAGAAAAAUAUUACAUAUAAAUAACUAAUUUAUAAACAUUUUGGUUUAUGUAUUGUUUGAUUGGAUUAUGUGUUACUUGGAUUUUCUUUUAAAUGGGAAAUUAAUAAAUAUUGGACGAUUACAUAGUACGUCGUGAGCUUUGUAUCAACCAAUCAUGCCCUGAUCACCUUGUUCACUGCGGGUCGGGGUGUGACAGAUUUCCUACCUUAGCUUUCCUACUGGUGGGAUUUACUGAGUAUGAUGAUGAUGAUGAUGAUGAUGAUGAUGAUACAAGACUCUUACAACAAGAAGUCGUAUAUGGCUUAAUGGACGAUAUCGGACCUUAUUGGAUCACGAUGGACACUAGUAUGUCAUAGAGUUGCAUAAAUCGGUUAAUUUCAAUAAUCCGUUCGGUUAGUUGGUAUAACCGGUCAAUUAGAACAAGUCAUUUAGGCCCAAUGAUGGUUAUUUGGGUUCUUAAAGGUCAAUUACGCCUAAUGAAGGUCAGUCAGGGUUGUUUAGCUCAAUGAUUGUCAAUUAGGCACAAUGACGGUUAAUUAGACCCAACGAUCGUAAGCUAGGUUCAAUGAAGCUCAGUUAGAGUUGUUGAGGCUCAGUGAUGGCCAAUUAAGCCCAGUGGUGAUCAAAUAGACCCAACGAUGCUCAUUUAGGCCAAGUGAUGGUUAAUUACGGUUUUUUAGCUCAAUGAAGGCCCAUUAGGCCCAAUGAAAGUCAAAUAGGUCUAAUGAUUGUCAGUUAGCUUCAAUGAUAGUUAGUUGAGCUUAAUAAAGGUCAAUUAGUCCUAAUGAAGGCUAGUUAGAGUUGUUAAGAUCAAUGAUGGCCAAUUACGCCCAAUGACGGUCAAUUAGACCUAACGAUGGUAAACUUGGUUCAAUGAAGGUCAACUAGAGUUGUUGAGGCUCAGUGAUGGCCAGUGGUGAUCAAAUAGACCCAAUGAUGGUCAUUUAGGCCAAAUGAUGGUUAAUUACGGUUUUUGAGCUCAAUGAUGGUCAAUUAGGCCCAAUGAAAGUCAACUAGGUCUGAUGAUUGUCAGCUAGCUUCAAUGAUAGUUAGUUGGGCUUAAUAAAGGUCAAUUAGGCCUAAUGAAGGCCAGUUAGGGUUGUUAAUCUCAAUGAUGGUCAAUUAGGCCCAAUGAAUGUCAUUUAGGGUUGUUGACCUAGUUGUAAGAAUGCUAUAGUGAGUAGAGUGUGAAUUCUAACACGACCCGAAAAAUAACACGAACCUAACACGACAUUUACGGGUUUGAAUUUUGUCUAAACGGGUUUGGGUCAGUUUCAGGUUGAACCCGUGGACCCAUUCAACUCAAGUAGGCGGGUUCAGGUUAAACCGGUCGGGUUAUCGGGUUGACUCGUUUAACCCAUUUAUAUUAUAUUCUAUAUUACAAUAUAUUUUAUGUUAUAAAAUAAUUUGGGUGUGUAUUUUAUACUAUAAUUAUAACUUAAAAGAGAAAUUAACAUAAGAUUGCAUAACUUAAAUUCAGUCGGGUCAUGUUCGGGUUCAUAUUUAUGACAUGAUUUUCAUACACAACACAAAUCUUUCAAACGUAAUAUAAAUAUAGUUUUUUUUAUUAUUAUUUUAUGUAAUUUAUGAAAAAAAUAUAACUUUAAUUUUUGUUUCCCACCAUUUCCCAAAAAAUUUCUAAUUUCCCUCUCCUUUCUCUUGUAUCUCUCUCCUAAAACAUGUUCGUUUUUGCUUUUCCCCUAUUUUUCUUUAACCCUAAAUGGAUUCCCCUCCCAAAAUUCAUCCCCAGAGAUCUCGUAUUGAUACCCCCUCUUCUCUUUUUGUUUAAUUAGCUUGUUUUGGCAUUACGAUAAAGAGAGAAACAAACCGGACACGCAACAUCUCCAUUGAAUCCAUCUAAUCUCUCCUUUGAUUGAACGCGAACCGAAGGAAGAGGAACAUAAAUCGGAAGCCAUCCGAUUCUAGACCUUAAUCGGAGAUCUGAAAACCAAUUAAGGACUGACGUGAUUAAGGUUGAUGUUACUCUUUCCGAUGGAACUUUGGCCAGAGUUGCCGUACCUAGCGGCGCUUCUACAGGUAUAUAUGAAGCUUUGGAUUUAAGAGAUGGAGGUUCAGAUAUCUUGGUAAAGGUUUCUUGAAGGUGUGUGUUACUCUUGAUUUUCCAUGGUUUUGCUCAAGUUUUUAAGUUUUGAAAUGAUGACACGAGAUCAAAUUUGACUUGUUUAGCUACAACUGAAAUUAGGUUGUUGAUUAAC